UCCGUAGGGGGCAAGCGUUGUCCGGAUUUAUUGGGCGUAAAGAGCGUGUAGGCGGCUAGGUAGGUCCGUUGUGAAAACUCGAGGCUCAACCUCGAGACGCCGAUGGAAACCAUCUAGCUAGAGUCCGGAAGAGGAGAGUGGAAUUCCUGGUGUAGCGGUGAAAUGCGCAGAUAUCAGGAAGAACACCCGUGGCUAAGGCGGCUCGCGAGUACGGGACUGACGCUGAGACGCGAAAGCGUGGGGAGCGAACAGG
rnacentral:rRNA from 1 species